rnacentral:hammerhead_ribozyme from 1 species
AUCUAUCUGACGAGUCCCAAAUAGGAUGAAACGAGCUUCCUGGAC